rnacentral:lncRNA from 1 species
AGCUCGUGGAGUGGUAAUAGCUGAGUGAGCAUCUGGGCCCUUGAUUGAAAGAGAACAAGUGGUAGAAAGUGUAUUUUGAAAUGAUAAUUGAUAGAGACCAUCUCUAAGGGUGCCCUUGAUAGAGAUCACCUGCUGAAUACUCGCUCAAAAUGCAUGCCUUGGAGGUUCGUGGCUUCUUGGCAUAGGGAUCUUCGUCUUCUUGAGGGUUUUAGAUUGCAAGUUUCUCACAUCUACCGGGAAGGGAAUUCAGC